GAUGAAGAACGCAGCGAAAUGCGAUAAGUAAUGUGAAUUGCAGAAUUCAGUGAAUCAUCGAAUCUUUGAACGCAUCUUGCGCUCCUUGGUAUUCUGAGGAGCAUGCCUGUUUGAGUGUCAUUAAAUUCUCAACUACACUGACUUUGAAUUGGUGCGGCUUGGAUUUGGGGGGAAAAUUGUUGUGGGCUUUUUGUAUAGUCUGCUCCCCUGAAAUUGAUUAGCGGUACCUUUGUGGAACUGUCUACAGGUGUGAUAAUUAUCUACAUCUUAGACAUCUGCUGGAAUGCUGCUUUCUAAACCUUACUUGUAUUGACAAUCUUGACCUCAAAUCAGGUAGGACUACCCGCUGAACUUAAGCAUAUCAAUAAGCGGAGGA
rnacentral:misc_RNA from 1 species